GACGAACGCUGGCGGCGUGCUUAACACAUGCAAGUCGAACGAAGUGGCGAACGGGUGAGUGACGCGUAAUCAACCUGCACUUCAGAGGGGGACAACAGUUUGAAACGACGGCUAAUACCGCAUACUGAAGGAGGGUAUUGCGUCUGAUUGGUUAGUUGGCGGGGUAACGGCCCACGAAGGCGAUGAUCAGUAGCCGGUCGUGAAGGAUGAACGGCCACAUUGGGACUGGGAAACGGCCCAGACUCCUACGGGAGGCAGCAGUGGGGAAUCUUCCGAAAUGGAAGAAAGUCUGACGGAGCAACGCCGCGUGAGUGAUGACGGCCUUCGGGUUGUAAAGCUCUGUUAAUCGGGACGCGGUACCGGAAUAGAAAGCCACGGCUAACUACGUGCCAGCAGCCGCGGUAAUAC
rnacentral:rRNA from 1 species